rnacentral:rRNA from 1 species
CUUGACCCCAUCAUUGACGGAUUUCACCUCACUCGAGUCCUUAUGGACGGUGGCAGCAGUCUGAACCUGCUCUAUCAGGAUACAGUGCGUAAAAUGGGCAUAGACCCCUCGAGGGUCAAACCUACCAAAACCACCUUUAAAGGUGUCAUCCCAGGUGUAAAGGCCUAUUGCACGGGCUCAAUAAAACUAGAAGUAGUCUUCGGAUCUCCGGACAACUUCCGAAGCGAGGAGUUAAUCUUCGAUAUCGUUCCCUUCCGCAGUGGCUAUCAUGCACUGCUCGGACGAACUGCAUUUGCCAGAUUCAAUGCGGUACCACAUUAUGCAUACUUCAAGCUCAAAAUGCCAGGACCUCGCGGGGUUAUAAUAGUUAAUGGAAACACAGAACGCUCGCUCUGCAUGGAGGAUCACACUGCAGCCCUCGCAGCAGAAGCGCAAAGCAGCCUUACGAGGCAACCGCCAAUUCGUCGAAAAAGACCCCAGACACCUGCAAGAGGAUCGCCAGGCACGUUUAGAGCU